AUUGAACGCUGGCGGCAGGCCUAACACAUGCAAGUCGAGCGGAUGAAGAGGGCUUGCUCUCUGAUUCAGCGGUGGACGGGUGAGUAAUGCCUAGGAAUCUGCCUGGUAGUGGGGGACAACGUUUCGAAAGGAACGCUAAUACCGCAUACGUCCUACGGGAGAAAGUGGGGGAUCUUCGGACCUCACGCUAUCAGAUGAGCCUAGGUACGAUUAGCUAGUUGGUGAGGUAAAGGCUCACCAAGGCGACGAUCGUUAACUGGUCUGAGAGGAUGAUCAGUCACACUGGAACUGAGACACGGUCCAGACUCCUACGGGAGGCAGCAGUGGGGAAUAUUGGACAAUGGGCGAAAGCCUGACCCAGCCAUGCCGCGUGUGUGAAGAAGGUCUUCGGAUUGUAAAGCACUUUAAGUUGGGAGGAAGGGCAGUAAGUUAAUACCUUGCUGUUUUGACGUUACCGACAGAAUAAGCACCGGCUAACUUCGUGCCAGCCGCCGCGGUAA
rnacentral:rRNA from 1 species